rnacentral:rRNA from 1 species
UACGGGGGGGGCAAGCGUUGUUCGGAAUUACUGGGCGUAAAGAGCGCGCAGGCGGUCGUACAAGUCGCGUGUGAAAGCCCCCGGCUCAACUGGGGAGGGUCACGCGAUACUGUUCGACUCGAAGGCAGGAGAGGGAAGUGGAAUUCCCGGUGUAGUGGUGAAAUUCGUAGAUAUUCGGAAGAACACCAGUGGCGAAGGCGACUCACUGGACACAUAUUGACGCUGAGGUGCGAAAGCGUGGGGAGCAAACAGG